rnacentral:rRNA from 1 species
GACGAACGCUGGCGGCGUGCCUAAUACAUGCAAGUAGAACGCUGAAGAGAGGAGCUUGCUCUUCUUGGAUGAGUUGCGAACGGGUGAGUAACGCGUAGGUAACCUGCCUGGUAGCGGGGGAUAACUAUUGGAAACGAUAGCUAAUACCACAUAAAAUGGAUUAUCGCAUGAUAAUCCAUUGAAAGGUGCAAAUGCAUCACUACCAGAUGGACCUGCGUUGUAUUAGCUAGUUGGUGGGGUAACGGCUCACCAAGGCGACGAUACAUAGCCGACCUGAGAGGGUGAUCGGCCACACUGGGACUGAGACACGGCCCAGACUCCUACGGGAGGCAGCAGUAGGGAAUCUUCGGCAAUGGACGGAAGUCUGACCGAGCAACGCCGCGGGAGUGAAGAAGGUUUUCGGAUCGUAAAGCUCUGUUGUAAGAGAAGAACGAGUGUGAGAGUGGAAAGUUCACACUGUGACGGUAUCUUACCAGAAAGGGACGGCUAACUACGUG